rnacentral:rRNA from 1 species
CAGCAGCCGCGGGAAUACGUAGGUCCCGAGCGUUGUCCGGAUUUAUUGGGCGUAAAGCGAGCGCAGGCGGUUAGAUAAGUCUGAAGUUAAAGGCUAUGGCUUAACCAUAGUACGCUUUGGAAACUGUUUAACUUGAGUGCAAGAGGGGAGAGUGGAAUUCCAUGUGUAGCGGUGAAAUGCGUAGAUAUAUGGAGGAACACCGGUGGCGAAAGCGGCUCUCUGGCUUGUAACUGACGCUGAGGCUCGAAAGCGUGGGGAGCAAACAGGAUUAGAGACCCCAGUAGUCCCUGUCUCUUAUACA